rnacentral:rRNA from 1 species
UAGGGUUUGAUUCUGGCUCAGAACGAACGCUGGCGGCAGGCCUAACACACGCAAGUCGAGCGCUACCUUCGGGUGGAGCGGCGGACGGGUUAGUAACGCGUGGGAAUAUACCCAGUUCUAAGGAAUAGCCACUGGAAACGUGAGUAAUACCUUAUACGCCCUUCGGGGGAAAGAUUUAUCGGAAUUGGAUUAGCCCGCGUUAGAUUAGAUAGUUGGUGGGGUAAUGGCCUACCAAGUCUACGAUCUAUAGCUGGUUUGAGAGGAUGAUCAGCAACACUGGGACUGAGACACGGCCCAGACUCCUACGGGAGGCAGCAGUGGGGAAUCUUAGACAAUGGGCGCAAGCCUGAUCUAGCCAUGCCACGUGAGUGAUGAAGGCCCUAGGGUCGUAAAGCUCUUUCAACUGUGAAGAUAAUGACGGUAGCAGUAGAAGAAACCCCGGCUAACUCCGUGCCAGCAGCCGCGGUAAUACGGAGGGGGUUAGCGUUGUUCGGAAUUACUGGGCGUAAAGCGUACGUAGGCGGAUUAAUAAGUUAGAGGUGAAAUCCCAGGGCUCAACCCUGGAACUGCCUUUAAAACUGUUAGUCUUGAGAUCGAGAGAGGUGAGUGGAAUUCCAAGUGUAGAGGUGAAAUUCGUAGAUAUUUGGAGGAACACCAGUGGCGAAGGCGGCUCACUGGCUCGAUACUGACGCUGAGGUACGAAAGUGUGGGGAGCAAACAGGAUUAGAUACCCUGGUAGUCCACACCGUAAACGAUGAAUGCCAGACAUCAGCAAGCAUGCUUGUUGGUGUCACACCUAACGGAUUAAGCAUUCCGCCUGGGGAGUACGGUCGCAAGAUUAAAACUCAAAGGAAUUGACGGGGGCCCGCACAAGCGGUGGAGCAUGUGGUUUAAUUCGACGCAACGCGCAGAACCUUACCAACCCUUGACAUACUUGUCGCGGAUUCCAGAGAUGGAUUCCUUCAGUUCGGCUGGACAAUGUACAGGUGCUGCAUGGCUGUCGUCAGCUCGUGUCGUGAGAUGUUCGGUUAAGUCCGGCAACGAGCGCAACCCACGUCCUUAGUUACCAGCAUUCAGUUGGGUACCCUAAGGAGACUGCCGGUGAUAAGCCGGAGGAAGGUGUGGACGACGUCAAGUCAUCAUGGCCCUUACGGGUUGGGCUACACACGUGCUACAAUGGCAUCUACAGUGAGUUAAUCUCCAAAAGAUGUCUCAGUUCGGAUUGGGGUCUGCAACUCGACCCCAUGAAGUUGGAAUCGCUAGUAAUCGCGGAACAGCAUGCCGCGGUGAAUACGUUCCCGGGCCUUGUACACACCGCCCGUCACACCAUGGGAAUUGGGUCUACCCGAAGGUGGUGCGCCAACUAUUUAUAGAGGCAGCCAACCACGGUAGGUUCAGUGACUGGGGUGAAGUCGUAACAAGGUAACC